rnacentral:rRNA from 1 species
ACUCAAAUGAAUUGACGGGGGCCCGCACAAGCGGUGGAGCAUGUGGUUUAAUUCGAUGCAACGCGAAGAACCUUACCUACUCUUGACAUCCACGGAAUUCGCCAGAGAUGGCUUAGUGCCUUCGGGAACCGUGAGACAGGUGCUGCAUGGCUGUCGUCAGCUCGUGUUGUGAAAUGUUGGGUUAAGUCCCGCAACGAGCGCAACCCUUAUCCUUUGUUGCCAGCACGUAAUGGUGGGAACUCAAAGGAGACUGCCGGUGAUAAACCGGAGGAAGGUGGGGAUGACGUCAAGUCAUCAUGGCCCUUACGAGUAGGGCUACACACGUGCUACAAUGGCAUAUACAAAGAGAAGCGAACUCGCGAGAGCAAGCGGACCUCAUAAAGUAUGUCGUAGUCCGGAUUGGAGUCUGCAACUCGACUCCAUGAAGUCGGAAUCGCUAGUAAUCGUAGAUCAGAAUGCUACGGUGAAUACGUUCCCGGGCCUUGCACACACCGCCCGU